rnacentral:lncRNA from 1 species
UUUAAGGUGUGUCUUGAUGGCACACCUGGACAGAUUACGAUAUUCACCUGGUCAGCUUCUGGGACAAACAUUACUGAGGCUCUGACACCCUCACUUUCAACAGUGAUUAUCUAUUUAAUGGAUAUAUCACAAAAUACAAACCCAGUAGUCUUUAUGUCCAAUAUGCUCUAUGCAUACAGAAUCUUACUUAUAUAAAACUAAGCUGGCUCUCAUUGCAGUCAUGAACAAAGUAUCUCUGCUGUAGUGGGUAUAGUUUCUAUGAACUCUGUGUGCCAAUCACUAAUGCUGCAGAAAGUUAUGAGAAAAUAUCAUCCUGAAUAUGAACAUUUGAAGUACUCACUGGCAAAUGCACAGAGUGAACAGCAGAAAGAGUAACUAGUAAGCCCUUAGAAAGGGCUUGUAGACUUGGAUUGGAGACUACCAAAUACCCUAGGUCCUGUGCUAGGACCUUCAAACUUGAUAUUCACUCAAGAAACUGGAUGAAAAAGAUGAAGAAGCUGACAGUGACAUUCAUAACACUGAUCACAAAGUUAUAAAGGAAAGCCAUGAAGAACCAACAUUUCAGAAUUUCACAAGGAUCAAUGGCACAAAACUAAAAGAGAAA